ensembl:antisense 4930486F22Rik RIKEN cDNA 4930486F22 gene
GGUAUGGUGGCACACACUUGUAAUCCCAGAGCUGGGCGGGCAGAUCCUUGUGUCUUUGCCCAAUCAGCAAGUCCUAAGUCCCAGUGAGAGACCCUGUCUCUAAAAUCAGGGAGGAUGGCUCCAGAGGUUGUCCCCUGCCCUCCACAUGCAUGUGUACCUGCACACACCCGCUAGGCACAAGCUCCCCCCCCCCUCCCCCCGCCAGGAACAGGUUCUGAGUAACAUUACUGUCAGGCCACACCCAUGCUUUAGCUCAGCAUCAGCCCUGGAGUCCUUCACCCAAAGCUUAGAGGAGAUACACAGAAGUUACGAAAGCCCUAAGCUCGCGGCUCCCAAACUUUCUGGGUUUGUGUUGCCUCAUUUAGGGGUUUAUUUUAAAAAAAAAUUCUUACGCCAAGAUACCAGUUUUAUUUAUGAAGAGAUUAAAGCUUAACAAUUAUUUACAUCCUGAUAAACUUGUUAAGUGUUCCAAGAAUUCGCAAUGAAUAUAAUAUUUCAUGACGAAAGAACUUACAAUUACUAAUAGGGUGUGUAAAUUUGUUGGAUACUGAAGGAAACUCCCAAACCACGAGGCACCAUCUCUCAUUCCUUGCACCUCACUGAGCUUUUCACAGGGCACUUUUAUUUAAAACACAGCCUCCACACAUCCCCACCAACUGAAGAUACAGUGCAUUGGAAGGCACUCAGGAUCCAGCCUAGGUGCCCUGAGCUUCACGGCUAGUCAUUUGCACAGUGACCACUCAUGGCUGGGAACUGGUGUGCUUUCUUUGAAAGCUCAGAAUGGGCUGCGAUGCCUCUAGUGCUCCAGGCUGCCUUGAUGCAGUAUGGGAAGUGUGACUUUAUGUGAUUGUUUUCCAGGUUCUUCCCAAGCCACAAGUAGCAGAAAUCUUUGGAGGAGUGUCCCUGGAGGGAGGAACUAGCCAGUGGGCUAGAUGAUACUUCAAACCAGAUCACACUUAAGGGAAUUGAAAGACCGGAGUUGGUGAAAAUAUGCUGACUUGCUUUAAAAACUGAGAGUGUUUGUCUACAGCCAAAGACAGACAGUGGGGGUGGAAUUCCUCCUCGCCCACUUGACUCCCUUAUGAACUUCUGGGAUAUUAAAGGCCAGUGAACCAGUAUUCACGCCAUGGGUUUGAAAUGGAACAUCCAAUCGAUUCAAUGGGCCAUGGACCAUGAACAACAAUUUAAAAAUGAAACCCUGGAACAGAAAGUAUGAGGACACCUUGCACAUAGUGAGGCAGGCGUGGCUCUGGGAUACUUAGCUCAGUAUUUUGGAAUUAGGUGGCAGGGAAGUAUGUGUUAGUUAUUGGCAUCUGUGCUACUAAAUUUUGAAAAAGUGUUAUAUUAAGCCAGGGAUUAGUAAGCCUGUUUGUAAAGUUCAAUAGAAAACAUUCUAGACAUUCCAGGCCAUAAAACUACUCAAGUAAUUUUGCACUCAAGCGCAAAAACAAGUUCUUCAUGUUUAUCAAUAAGCAGGGCCGUGUUACAAUAAAACUUUAUC